UGCAGUAUGGUGUAUGGACGCACACGGGGUUCUACUGAAAGCAGUCUAAGUUGUAUUCCCCGAGGCCUUUGUUCGAUUCAAGGUGCUGCGC